rnacentral:rRNA from 1 species
CAGCCGCGGGAAUACAGAGGGUGCGAGCGUUAAUCGGAUUUACUGGGCGUAAAGCGUGCGUAGGCGGCUUUUUAAGUCGGAUGUGAAAUCCCUGAGCUUAACUUAGGAAUUGCAUUCGAUACUGGGAAGCUAGAGUAUGGGAGAGGAUGGUAGAAUUCCAGGUGUAGCGGUGAAAUGCGUAGAGAUCUGGAGGAAUACCGAUGGCGAAGGCAGCCAUCUGGCCUAAUACUGACGCUGAGGUACGAAAGCAUGGGGAGCAAACAGGAUUAGAUACCCCGGUAGUCCCUGUCUCUUAUACACU